rnacentral:tRNA from 1 species
GGUUGUGUAGCUCAACUGGAUAGAGCAUCUGACUACGAAUCAGAAGGUUAGGGGUUCGACUCCCUUCACGACCACGA